AUGUACAUACAUGCAUAUCUACAUAUGCCAGAGCACGAAGUCGUAUUUGUUCGUUAUGCGCCCCUCAUAUUCGACUUCGUGCUCUGGCAUAUGCAGAUAUGUAUGUAUGU
rnacentral:miRNA from 1 species